UUAUACCGCGAAACUGCGAAUGGCUCAUUAUAUAAGUUAUCGUUUAUUUGAUAAUACUUUACUACUUGGAUAACCGUGGUAAUUCUAGAGCUAAUACAUGCUAAAAAUCCCGACUUCGGAAGGGUUGUAUUUAUUAGAUUAAAAACCAAUGCCCCUCGGGGCUCUCUGGUGAAUCAUGAUAACUAGUCGAAUCGACAGGCCUUGUGCCGGCGAUGGCUCAUUCAAAUUUCUUCCCUAUCAACUUUCGAUGUUUGGGUCUUGUCCAAACAUGGUGGCAACGGGUAACGGAGGGUUAGGGCUCGACCCCGGAGAAGGAGCCUGAGAAACGGCUACUACAUCCAAGGAAGGCAGCAGGCGCGCAAAUUACCCAAUCCCGACACGGGGAGGUAGUGACAAUAAAUACUGAUACAGGGCUCUUUUGGGUCUUGUAAUCGGAAUGAGUACAAUUUAAAUCCCUUAACGAGGAACAAUUGGAGGGCAAGUCUGGUGCCAGCAGCCGCGGUAAUUCCAGCUCCAAUAGCGUAUAUUAAAGUUGUUGUGGUUAAAAAGCUCGUAGUUGAACCUUGGGCCUGGCUGGCCGGUCCGCCUCACCGCGUGCACUGGUCCGGCCGGGCCUUUCCCUCUGCGGAACCCCAUGCCCUUCACUGGGUGUGGCGGGAAACAGGACUUUUACUUUGAAAAAAUUAGAGUGCUCAAGGGCAGGCCUAU
rnacentral:rRNA from 1 species